GUAAACGUUUAACAGCCUCUUCGUAUAAGCGAGGACGCGUCAUGGUAGAAAUGGGAUCCAUAGGGUAUUUAGCAAUAGAAGUCAAAACAUAAGUAGCAAUUGUAAGUCCAAAAAUACCAGGCAUAGGUCCUAUUACAGGAAGAAUACGAGCACGGAAUUCGGGUAAAGCACUCAACUCAUCAACGUCUCCUUUUUCAAACUCUUCCUCAGAGAGAGGUAACAAACUUGCUUUUCUAGGAUCUGGUUUUUCAGUAGAAAAUACGACAGGAAUACCUUCCAUAAUACCAAGGAGACGCAACCUACGACGAGUAGCUCUUGAUAAAGGAUCUUCAGAAGUAGCUGAUAUAUCUGCUAUGUUAACACGAGUCGGAUCAGAUUUGCAUGCAGACCCGGUAGAAGCAAUUACGGGAAGUUUGUGGUUGUAGCAAUAACUUAAUAAAUCAACUUUAGUUUGGAUGUUAUCUAUAGCGUCGAUUACAAAAUCAGGAUUGCCAGACAAAAGAUCGUCGGCGGAGUCGGGAUUGAAAAGUGCGUUACGAGCAUCUACUUCAAUCCAAGGGGCAAAUUUUUUAAUCGCCUUUUUUAUAGCAAGAGUCUUUGGAGUACCAACAUCUUGCAACGUGGCUAUGGAAUGACGAUUUAGGCUACUAAGAGAUACUUGAUCAAAAUCGACAAUUCUAAUUUUUUGCACACCAGAGCGUGCAAGCAUAUUAAUCACCCAGCUUCCAACACCACCACAGCCUACGACGAUAACAAAAGAGUUGCGCAGACGCUCCAUACCGUCUUCUCCAAAAAAUGCAUAAUUUCGAGCCAGCUGUUCACGUAUCAGAUUUUCAUCGUACGGAACGCCUUUGCUUAUUCCUUCAUCCUCUUCCCCAGCAUCAUAAAUUUCUAUAGGUACACCAGAAGAAGAAAGUUGAAUACUUUUACCAGCUUCAGGAACAAUCAUCGACUGUAAGCGACGAAUUGAGCGAUGUUUACGAAACUCCAACGUUCCAAGGAUUACGCAUGCUGUCGUUACAGAAGAGGAGACAGCAAUCCAAAAGGAUUUAUACGUUAUCCACGAAGGGACUUUGAAACCUGCCAUAAUGCUAGUAAAAUCAAAUAGAAAGAAAACUUCGACUUGCAGCGUUUCCAUUUUCUUUAAGUGACAAGUUGCCUUAACAUUAGUGCAAUCGGUCUUUGCAACAGUAAUUGCAGCCUAUAAUGAUUAAGGUAUUAGAAAACGGCAUUUACAUUAUUCAAUUUAAUGAAAUAAAAACAAGUCGUGUUUGUCUCUAUGCUGAUAAAUUCAAAAGCUGGAAUAUUUGGUAUAUGUACGAGAACCUAUAUUAAAAACUUGUAAUUCAAUUCUUUUUUUACUAUAAGUUCUCGUACAUACAAUUAGUCUGUGUAUGUAUCGGUUUAUGCCGUAUAGGAAUUUCAUCAAAACGUAAAUAAAUGAAUUAGGAGGAGACUGGAUGACUAACAAAAACUUUUAAACUUAUCUGACUUGUUUCAAUAAUUA